AAGUCGUAACAAGGUUUCCGUAGGUGAACCUGCGGAAGGAUCAUUACAGAGUUCAUGCCCUUACGGGUAGAUCUCCCACCCUUGAAUACUAUACCUUUGUUGCUUUGGCGGGCCGCUUCGGCUACUGGCUCUGGCUAGUGAGUGCCCGCCAAAGGAUCCCAAAACUCUGAAUAUUUGUGUCGUCUGAGUACUAUGUAAUAGUUAAAACUUUCAACAACGGAUCUCUUGGUUCUG
rnacentral:misc_RNA from 1 species